rnacentral:rRNA from 1 species
CCUACGGGGGGCACCAGUGGGGAAUAUUGCACAAUGGGCGCAAGCCUGAUGCAGCGACGCCGCGUGGGGGAUGAAGGCCUUCGGGUUGUAAACUCCUUUCGCUAGGGACGAAGCCUUUUUUGAGGUGACGGUACCUGGAUAAGAAGCACCGGCUAACUACGUGCCAGCAGCCGCGGUAAUACGUAGGGUGCAAGCGUUGUCCGGAAUUACUGGGCGUAAAGAGCUCGUAGGUGGUUUGUCGCGUCGUCUGUGAAAUUCCGGGGCUUAACUCCGGGCGUGCAGGCGAUACGGGCAUAACUUGAGUGCUGUAGGGGAGACUGGAAUUCCUGGUGUAGCGGUGAAAUGCGCAGAUAUCAGGAGGAACACCGAUGGCGAAGGCAGGUCUCUGGGCAGUAACUGACGCUGAGGAGCGAAAGCAUGGGUAGCGAACAGGAUUAGAUACCCGUGUAGUC